GAUGAACGCUGGCGGCGUGCCUAAUACAUGCAAGUCGAGCGAACAGACGAGGAGCUUGCUCCCCUGACGUUAGCGGCGGACGGGUGAGUAACACGUGGAUAACCUACCUAUAAGACUGGGAUAACUUCGGGAAACCGGAGCUAAUACCGGAUAAUAUAUUGAACCGCAUGGUUCAAUAGUGAAAGACGGUUUUGCUGUCACUUAUAGAUGGAUCCGCGCCGCAUUAGCUAGUUGGUAAGGUAACGGCCUACCAAGGCAACGAUGCGUAGCCGACCUGAGAGGGUGAUCGGCCACACUGGAACUGAGACACGGUCCAGACUCCUACGGGAGGCAGCAGUAGGGAAUCUUCCGCAAUGGGCGAAAGCUUGACGGAGCAACGCCGCGUGAGUGAUGAAGGUCUUCGGAUCGUAAAACUCUGUUAUUAGGGAAGAACAAAUGUGUAAGUAACUAUGCACGUCUUGACGGUACCUAAUCAGAAAGCCACGGCUAACUACGUG
rnacentral:rRNA from 1 species